CCCGCGUGAUGAUAUCAUGGCAAGUUGAUGACGCAGUCAAACCAAGAGAUUGGGGUUUCUAGCCUGCUGAUCGAUGGGUAGUCUUGGUGUUGUGAUGGAGUUUUAUCACACUGCUGUAAGGCCCCACCCACAGUUAACCUGACACCUUCUACUACAUCUGCCCCCCCAAGAGCAAUGGGACAGGGCAGGUAGGAGAUGUCAAACAAUGUGUGUUUUUGUCUUUGUGUGAAUGUAUCAGCAGGCAUGAGACCAUACUCGGUUUGAAAUAUGAAUUACAGUCUUUGGUAAACUGAGGGC